rnacentral:rRNA from 1 species
CCGGAUUUAUUGGGUUUAAAGGGAGCGUAGGCCGGAGAUCUAAGCGUGUUGUGAAACGUAGAUGCUCAACAUCUGCACUGCAGCGCGAACUGGUUUCCUUGAGUACGCACAAAGUGGGCGGAAUUCGUGGUGUAGCGGUGAAAUGCUUAGAUAACACGAAGAACUCCGAUUGCGAAGGCAGCUCACUGNAGCCCAACUGACGCUGAAGCUCGAAAGUGCGGUAUCGAACAGGAUUAGAUACCCUGGUAGUCCGCACGGUACCCCAGUGAGGCCCGCUGUUGGUCUGAAUAGGUCAGCGCCCAAGCGAAAGCAUUAAGCAUCCCACCUGGGGAGUACGCCGGCAGCGGUGAAACUCAAACGAAUUGACGGGGGCCCGCACAAGCGGAGGAACAUGUGGUUUAAUUCGAUGAUACGCGAGGAACAUUACCCGGGCUUGAAUUGCAGAGGAAGGAUUUGGAGACAAUGACGCCCUUCGGGGCCUCUGUGAAGGUGCUGCAUGGUUGUCGUCAGCUCGUGCCGUGAGGUGUCGGCUUAAGUGCCAUAACGAGCGCAACCCCUCUCCUUAGUUGCCAUCAGGUCAUGCUGGGCACUCUGGGGACACUGCCACCGUAAGGUGUGAGGAAGGUGGGGAUGACGUCAAAUCAGCACGGCCCUUACGUCCGGGGCUACACACGUGUUACAAUGGCAGGUACAGAGAGACGGUCCCUUGCAAAAUGGAUCAAAUCCUUAAAGCCUGUCUCAGUUCGGACUGGGGUGUGCAACCCGACCCCACGAAGCUGGAUUCGCUAGUAAUCGCGCAUCAGCCAUGGCGCGGUGAAUAAAUUCCCGGGCCUUGCACA